AACGAACGCUGGCGGCAUGCCUAACACAUGCAAGUCGAACGAGACCUUCGGGUCUAGUGGCGCACGGGUGCGUAACGCGUGGGAACCUGCCCUUAGGUUCGGAAUAACUCCCCGAAAGGGGUGCUAAUACCGGAUAAUGUCUUCGGACCAAAGAUUUAUCGCCUUUGGAUGGGCCCGCGUUGGAUUAGCUAGUUGGUAGGGUAAAGGCCUACCAAGGCGACGAGCCAUAGCUGGUCUGAGAGGAUGAUCAGCCACACUGGGACUGAGACACGGCCCAGACUCCUACGGGAGGCAGCAGUGGGGAAUAUUGGACAAUGGGCGAAAGCCUGAUCCAGCAAUGCCGCGUGAGUGAUGAAGGCCUUAGGGUUGUAAAGCUCUUUUACCCGGGAUGAUAAUGACAGUACCGGGAGAAUAAGCUCCGGCUAACUCCGUG
rnacentral:rRNA from 1 species